rnacentral:rRNA from 1 species
AAUGAACGCUGGCGGCGUGCUUUACACAUGCAAGUCGAACGCGAAAGUGGACUUCGGUCCGCGAGUAGAGUGGCGAACGGGUGAGUAACACGUGGGUAACCUACCCUGGAGCGGGGGACAACUCGAGGAAACUCGAGCUAAUACCGCAUACGUUUCGGCGAUUAUGGUCGCCGAAGGAAAGACAGCCUCUUCUUGAAAGCUGUCACUCUGGGAUGGGCCCGCGUCCGAUUAGCUAGUUGGUGGGGUAACGGCCUACCAAGGCGACGAUCGGUAGCCGGCCUGAGAGGGCGAUCGGCCACACUGGAACUGAGACACGGUCCAGACUCCUACGGGAGGCAGCAGUGGGGAAUAUUGCGCAAUGGGGGAAACCCUGACGCAGCAACGCCGCGUGAAGGAUGAAGGCCUUCGGGUCGUAAACUUCUGUCAGAAGGGAAGAAGGUUUGCGGGUUAAUAGCCCGUAAAUUUGACGGUACCUUCAGAGGAAGCCCCGGCUAACUCCGUG